CCUACGGGUGGCUGCAGUGAGGAAUAUUGGUCAAUGGACGAGAGUCUGAACCAGCCAAGUAGCGUGAAGGAUGACUGCCCUAUGGGUUGUAAACUUCUUUUAUAAAGGAAUAAAACGAGGCACGUGUGCCUUUUUGCAUGGACUUUAUGAAUAAGGAUCGGCUAACUCCGUGCCAGCAGCGGCGGUAAUACGGAGGUUCCGAGCGUUAUACGGAUUUAGUGGGUUUAAAGGGAGCGUAGAUGGGUUGUUAAGUCAGUUGUGAAAGUUUGCGGCUCAACCGUAAAAUGGCAAUUUCUACUGGCAGUCUUGAUUACAGUUUAGGUAAGCGGAAUUCUUGUUGUAGCGG
rnacentral:rRNA from 1 species